AAACCAAAUUCCAAAACCCAGAGAAAAAGAGAGAGAAGAGACGGAUACACAUCUAGGGUUUUUUAGAUUCAUUCUCUAGAUCUCACGUUUUCAAAAUCUGCGCCCCUUUCUCUCUCUAGCGAUUCAAGAACAUCAAAGCGAUUUCACCAGAUCUAUGAAGAUUUCACAAGAUCCAAUUGAUUUGAGAUCCAAAUGAUUUCAGAUCUUCAUUGACCCUCUCUCAUUUUCGUCUCAUCUCAGGUUCAGCUCUCUCAUUUUCAUCUCAUUCUCUCUGUUUCUUCAUCCGUUCUCAAGAUCCAGAUCUUGAUUGAUGAACAUGUAGAGAGGGAAAUACUGAAUCAUAGAUCUUUGAGACAUCCAAAUAUUAUCAGAUUCAAAGAGGUAAAUUUUGAUUCCUUAUAAGAUACAUACACCUUUCUUGACUAUGUGUGUGUUUGUUUGUAUUUUGCUAAAUGGAUCUGCUGAUUACAUUGAUAUUAAUGCUUUCUAAAUCCCAAGAAGUCAAAGUUUGACUUUCAAGAUUCAACCCUGCCAAUAAAAGAGUUACAUUUAUAAUACAUAUAUAAAAAGCCGGAUUUUUAAAACUGAGUAUUUUUUAUAUGUAUGAUGUGAUGAUACAAAUAUAAGAUAUACAUAAAUAAGGCACUUCUCGAAUAUGUUUUUUUAGUACAUACACACAAAUGUAUGUGGUUAAAUAAAUAUUUAGAUGGUGGUUCUGGCAACAACUCUUGGACAGAAUCAAUAGUUUGAUGAAAGUGCAAAGCUGAUAUGUGGUUGUUCCAACAUGGGCAGGCGUUCAAUAGACAUUAUGUAUUAAUAUUGUUAUGUUUUUAGUAAAAAUUUUGAAGGUGUCAUUGGUGGUGCAAGUAUAACAUUUGCGAAAAAAACAGUAAAAGAGUUGCUCCUUAUCAAGAUCAUAUAUUGGCUGAGAGAAAGAGGAGAAAAACUCAGUUAUAGGUUUAUUGCCCUGUCUGCUCUACUCCCUAACCUCAAAAGGGUUUGGGGAUGACUUGGUGGGAUUGAGUCGGGUCACCGGAAAGGGUGUGUUUGGAAGUGUUCGCCGGAGAAUUGCCAGAGAAGAUGACUUGGUACUUGAGGUCACAACAUCAAUGGAUUGAAGGUAUUGUUUUUCCUUUGUUUUUAUGAUGAUUCUAGAAGCUUAUACUACCAUUUUGAUUAAUUUGUUUAGAAAUGGGUAGAUUCGGGUUAACGGGUCAAAUGGUUAAAAAAAAUAAUAAAUGGUUUACUUACUAAUGACGUCUUUAAGGUAUAGCAAAUGCACACACACCAUUCUUUUAAAAAUGUGAUAUUGUUGUUUAUCUUAAUGCUAACUGGUUUACAUCUCAUGACAAAGUUAUUGUCGCAUGAUAUAACCUCAUGAUGCUUGGGACUGUUAAUUUGUUGAUGGUCCAGAAUUAAUUCAUGGAUUUAGAAGUAUUGCAGUCUGAACUUCAAUAUCAAACAACAUACCAUGUGUUUAAUAUGGUUAGUAAUGGAGUGCUUGAUGUAGUCUAAUGCAAGUUUUUAAAUUCACAUAUUGGAGAGUAAUAGCAGGUUAUCUAAUGUAAUUGUUUUUCAUUAUUUAGAUAAGUUCUCUAUGGAAUAUUGGAAAUAGGUUGGCAUUUUAAGUUGAGUUUAAUGUUACUACAAUGUGCCUUUUGGUGUUUGUGAAGGUAAUAAUCCAUUAGGUUUUACCUACUGAGCAUUUUGAAAAAAGAAAUCCUUUAAUAAAACAUGGGCAAGAAAAUAGAUGAGUGGUUCACUACAUUACUGAUGAGGUUCACUACCUAACAGGUAAUUUUAUCCAAGAUCUUUUUCAUUCUAUUGUUGUUUAUACAACUUAUGAAUAUCACUUAUAAGAUGUUAUACAAAAGAAAUGGAGACCAGAUGUAUUAUAUUAUUGUCACUCUUUGGUUCCUUCGAAUAUAUCAUAUGUGGAUACAGGUAUUAUAGAUACUUAAUCCAUUAAUAGGUCGUGGUCUUGCAAAAGUCACUCUUUGGUGAAUUUCUUUUAAAUCACGUGCAAACUGUAUUUUAUAGGUCGUGGUCUUGCAAAAGUCAUACAUGUACCUGCAAAUAUGGAGGAGCCACUUGGACAAAUAUUAAUGAGAAUAAAGAUUCGGAGUUUACGUUUUGAUUAAAAAAAGAUUUAUAUUUUAUUGAUGGCUUUCUUUCAUGAUCAUUCAUUAAUGGCGAGCUUGAGCAUCCGCAUUUUGUUGAGGUUUCUCUCUCAUGUUCUGACGGAUUGUAUGUUCGAGAUGCAAUCGAUCGUUUAAAUUCCCUUAGAGGAAAAGGAAUGGCGACAGUCUAUUCGUGGUCUUCUAAACGUGCAUUAGAUUGCUACUUUGAAUCAGCCAAAUCGCACGAGACUCCAUGGAUAUGCACAACCAUAUAUGUGUAAUCAGUGGCGGAACUUGACCAAAAGUUUUGAUAUUGUAUUUUGUUUAUUUGAAACUUCAACCAGCAUCUUAAUAAUGAUGUAAAUAUCAUGUCCUGUGUCUUUGUGGUGCUUUUCUGUGAUAUCAUAAUUGGUUUUAAUUUGUAUGUGUU
rnacentral:lncRNA from 1 species